rnacentral:rRNA from 1 species
AGCGAACGCUGGCGGCAGGCUUAACACAUGCAAGUCGAGCGGGCAUAGCAAUAUGCCAGCGGCAGACGGGUGAGUAACGCGUGGGAACGUACCUUUUGGUUCGGAACAACACAGGGAAACUUGUGCUAAUACCGGAUAAGCCCUUACGGGGAAAGAUUUAUCGCCGAAAGAUCGGCCCGCGUCUGAUUAGCUAGUUGGUGAGGUAAUGGCUCACCAAGGCGACGAUCAGUAGCUGGUCUGAGAGGAUGAUCAGCCACAUUGGGACUGAGACACGGCCCAAACUCCUACGGGAGGCAGCAGUGGGGAAUAUUGGACAAUGGGCGCAAGCCUGAUCCAGCCAUGCCGCGUGAGUGAUGUAGGCCCUAGGGUUGUAAAGCUCUUUUGUGCGGGAAGAUAAUGACGGUACCGCAAGAAUAAGCCCCGGCUAACUUCGUG